UAAUAUCAGAGUUUGAUCCUAGCUCAGGAUGAACGCUGGCGGCGUGGAUGAGUCAUGCAAGUCAAACGGGUCUUGUGCUUCGCACAAGGGAUUUAUGAGAUAAGAUUUAAGAUUUAAGAAUUAUUCCUAAAUCCUAAAUCCAGAAUCCUGAAUCUCUCGCGCGAAGUGCGAAAUCAGUGGCAGACGAGGUAGUAACACGUAGGAACCUGAACCCGAGUCGGGAAUAAUUCGUCGAAAGGCGGACUAAUACCCGAUAGUAUCUUAGGAUUAAAGUCCCGGCUUGCCGGGACGCUCGGGAAAGGGCCUGCGGAGUAUCAGCUAGUUGGUAGGGUAACGGCCUACCAAGGCAAUGACGCUUAGGGGACCUGAGAGGGUGACCCCCACCGAUGGGACUGAGAC
rfam:Candidatus Nomurabacteria bacterium RIFCSPLOWO2_01_FTLL_46_18 rifcsplowo2_01_scaffold_17944, whole genome shotgun sequence.